rnacentral:rRNA from 1 species
GGGCCUGCACAAGCGGUGGAGUAUGUGGCUUAAUUCGAUGCAACGCGAAGAACCUUACCUGGCCUUGACAUGUAGUGGACCGGGUGCGAAAUCACCCUUUUCUUCGGAACUGCUACACAGGUGCUGCAUGGCUGUCGUCAGCUCGUGUCGUGAGAUGUUGGUUAAGUCCCGCAACGAGCGCAACCCCCGUGUUCUGUUGCCACCCAGAUGUAAAUCUGGAGCACUCUGGACAGACUGCCUGGUUUCAACUAGGAGGAAGGUGGGGAUGACGUCAAGUCAGUAUGGCCCUUACGGCCAGGGCUGCACACGUACUACAAUGCCUGAUAUAAUGGGAAGCAAGACCGCGAGGUGGAGCAAA